UGGCAGUGUGGUUAGCUGGUUGUGUAGCUGGUGCUCGUUGGCAAUUAAUUCACAGCCACUAUCUUCACUGCCGCC
rnacentral:pre_miRNA from 1 species